GUCCGCGCGCCUCGCUGCGAUGGCGGCGGCGCCGAGCACAGUCACCCCGCUGGCGGCGGAGUCUUCCCCUCAGGAAGCUACCGUCUCUGCCGCCUCCUCCUCCUCCUACACCGCCUGCGCGGCGGCGGCGGCGGCGGCGGCGGCAGUAAUUGUUCCUGCCUCCUCCGCCACCUCCGCCCCUGCCUGCCCGCCUGCCGGUGGCUGUGGCGACGGCGGCGGCGGCGGCUUUGGCGGCUCCACUAUGGCGGCGGCGGGGAGGGGGGGCAGUAGUUUUAAAGUAGACACCCGCCCUUGCCUCAGAGAAGAUGCCAUUUGGAAUGAACAGGAAAAGGCUGAACUUUUUACAGAUAAGUUUUGUCAAGUAUGUGGAGUGAUGCUACAGUUUGAAUCACAAAGAAUUUCACAUUAUGAGGGUGAAAAACAUGCUCAAAAUGUUAGUUUUUAUUUUCAAAUGCAUGGGGAACAAAAUGAAGUGCCUGGUAAGAAAAUGAAGAUGCAUGUUGAGAAUUUUCAGGUGAGUGAUGUGUGUUGGUAUUGUAAUCUAAACUUUGAGUUAUUGAAUCUUUCUAACAAGAUUGUGCCUAUUUCAGGUGCAUAGGUAUGAAGGAGUGGACAAAAACAAAUUUUGUGAUCUCUGCAACAUGAUGUUUAGCUCUCCACUUAUUGCUCAGUCUCACUAUGUGGGAAAGGUCCAUGCUAAAAAACUGAAGCAAUUAAUGGAGGAACAUGAUCAGGCAUCUCCAUCAGGAUUUCAACCAGAGAUGGCAGGAGUGCCUCUUACUACUUCUGCAGAGUCAACAUUCCUGAAGCCCCUUCCUGUCAAGCCUCCUCCAGGCACCUUCUCACUACUAGUGUAUUUUAUUCCCCUUUCAUAUUCUCUCUUCCACCCAUUUCUUUUCCUCCACUCACUAUUAUUUUUCAGUUCUUUCUUUACCCAGCCUUUCUCCUUCAUGUGAAAAUGUUCAUUCUUCUCUCCUCCUUGAAGCUCUAUUGUUUGUCAUAUGUAACUCUUUAUGCUCUGGUUCUUCUCCUCUAUUUCUGUUUCUUUUUUGUUUUCUCUAUGGGCUCUUUUUUUAUUCAUUACCUAGAUGUAGGUAUUCCCAUGGUUUCAUCCUUGACCUCACUCUACAAACACGAUUUCUAUUUCCCUGGUUUCAUUUCUCAUCUGUAUGCUUGUGACCUUUCUGUCAAGCAUUAGAUUCACAUAUCCAAAUGGCAGCUACUGCUUCACCUGGAUGCCUCAUAGCCAUUUCAAAUCCACCUAGUCAUUCAAAGUAGAAACCCACAGCUCAGAUCUUAUUAGCACAGGAAUGGCUACCAUAACGAUAUGGAACUAAAAAUUUUGCUUUCAGCUUUUAUCCUGAGAGUGGGGCUCACUGAACCUCUCUCCUUUCUAAAAUCUGUGGAAAUUACUUUUGGUAACUAAGGCACUGCAGUGAUCUCAGCAUUUAGUAUGAGAACCUAUGUUUGCCAUAUUUGUAGUAUUGCUUUUACAUCUUUAGAUAUGUUCCGGUCCCACAUGCAAGGAAGUGAACAUCAAAUUAAAGAAUCCAUUGUUAUCAAUCUAGUGAAGAAUUCAAGGAAGACACAAGACUCUUACCAAAAUGAGUGUGCAGAUUACAUCAAUGUGCAGAAAGCCAGAGGACUAGAGACCAAGACUUGUUUCAGAAAGAUGGAAGAGAGUUCUUUGGAAACCCGCAGAUACAGAGAAGUGGUCGAUUCCAGACCCAGACAUAGAAUGUUUGAACAAAGACUCCCAUUUGAGACUUUCCGAACAUACCCAGCACCAUACAAUAUUUCACAAGCAAUGGAAAAGCAGUUACCUCAUUCAAAGAAGACAUAUGACUCUUUCCAAGAUGAACUUGAAGAUUACAUCAAAGUACAGAAAGCCAGAGGACUAGAUCCAAAGACUUGUUUCAGAAAGAUGAGAGAGAACUCUGUGGAUACUCGUGGGUACAGAGAAAUGGUUGAUUCUGGACCCAGAUCAAGAAUGUGUGAGCAAAGAUUUUCACAUGAGGCUUCCCAGACCUACCAACGACCAUACCAUAUUUCACCAGUGGAAAGCCAGUUACCUCAGUGGUUACCAACCCAUUCAAAGAGGACAUAUGAUUCUUUCCAAGAUGAACUUGAAGAUUACAUAAAAGUGCAGAAAGCCAGAGGACUAGAGCCAAAAACUUGUUUCAGAAAGAUAGGAGAUAGCUCUGUAGAAACACACAAGAACAGAGAAAUGGUUGAUGUCAGACCCAGACAUAGAAUGUUGGAGCAAAAGCUCCCAUGUGAGACUUUCCAGACCUAUUCGGGACCAUAUAGUAUUUCACAAGUAGUGGAAAACCAGUUACCUCAUUGCUUACCAGCUCAUGAUAGCAAACAGAGACUAGAUUCUAUUAGCUACUGUCAACUCACCAGAGACUGUUUCCCAGAAAAACCAGUACCCUUGAGCCUUAAUCAGCAAGAAAAUAACUCUGGCUCAUACAGUGUAGAAUCUGAAGUUUACAAGCACCUCUCCUCAGAAAACAAUACUACUGACCAUCAAGCAGGUCAUAAACGGAAACAUCAGAAGAGAAAACGACACCUAGAAGAAGGCAAAGAAAGGCCAGAGAAAGAGCAGUCCAAGCAUAAAAGGAAAAAGAGUUAUGAAGAUACAGAUUUAGACAAAGACAAGAGCAUCAGACAAAGGAAAAGAGAGGAGGAUAGAGUCAGAGUCAGUUCAGGAAAGCUUAAGCAUCG
rnacentral:sRNA from 1 species